rnacentral:rRNA from 1 species
CCUACGGGAGACAGCAGUGGGGAAUAUUGGACAAUGGGGGGAACCCUGAUCCAGCGACGCCGCGUGAGUGAAGAAGUAUUUCGGUAUGUAAAGCUCUAUCAGCAGGGAAGAAAGAAAUGACGGUACCUGACUAAGAAGCCCCGGCUAACUACGUGCCAGCAGCCGCGGGAAUACGUAGGGGGCAAGCGUUAUCCGGAUUUACUGGGUGUAAAGGGAGCGUAGACGGCGAUGCAAGUCUGAAGUGAAAGGCGGGGGCCCAACCCCCGGACUGCUUUGGAAACUGUAUGGCUGGAGUGCAGGAGAGGUAUGUGGAAUGCGUAGUGUAGCGGGGAAAUGCGUAGAUAUUAGGAGGAACACCAGUGGCGAAGGCGGCAUACUGGACUGUAACUGACGUUGAGGCUCGAAAGCGUGGGGAGCGAACAGGAUUAGAUACCCGGGUAGUC